rnacentral:rRNA from 1 species
AGGUAAGCUACUAAGAGCGAAUGGUGGAUGCCUUGACUGGUAGAGGCGAUGAAGGACGUACUAGACUGCGAUAAGCUAGGUGGAGCUGUCAAGAAGCUUUGAUGCCUAGAUUUCCGAAUGGGGCAACCCAGUAUAUAGAGAUAUAUAUUACCAUAAUGGAGCGAACGAGGGGAAUUGAAACAUCUUAGUACCCUCAGGAAAAGAAAUCAAACGAGAUUGCGUCAGUAGCGGCGAGCGAAAGCGUAAGAGGGCAAACCCAGUGCUUGCACUGGGGGUUGUAGGACUGCAAUGUGCAAGAGGAAAGGUUAGCAGAACACUCUGGAAAGUGUAGCCAUAGAGGGUGAUAGUCCCGUAUGCAAAAACCUAACCUUAGCUAGCAGUAUCCUGAGUAGGGCGGGACACGAGAAAUCCUGUCUGAAGCUGGGUAGACCACUAUCCAACCCUAAAUACUACUACCAGAUCGAUAGCGAACAAGUACCGUGAGGGAAAGGUGAAAAGAACGGCGGUGAGCCGAGUGAAAUAGAACCUGAAACCAUUUGCUUACAAUCAUUCAGAGCACUAUGUAGCAAUACAGUGUGAUGGACUGCCUUUUGCAUAAUGAGCCUGCGAGUUGUGGUGUCUGGCAAGGUUAAGCUAACGCGAAGCCGUAGCGAAAGCGAGUCUGAAUAGGGCGCUAAGUCAGAUGCUGCAGACCCGAAACGAAGUGAUCUAUCCAUGAGCAGGUUGAAGCUAGUGUAAGAACUAGUGGAGGACCGAACCCGCUAGCGUUGAAAAGCUAUGGGAUGACUUGUGGAUAGGGGUGAAAGGCCAAUCAAACUUCGUGAUAGCUGGUUCUCUCCGAAAUAUAUUUAGGUAUAGCGUUGUGUCGUAACUAAAGGGGGUAGAGCACUGAAUGGGCUAGGGCAUACACCAAUGUACCAAACCCUAUCAAACUCCGAAUACCUUUAGUGUAAUCACAGCAGUCAGGCGGCGAGUGAUAAAAUCCGUCGUCAAGAGGGAAACAACCCAGACUAACAGCUAAGGUCCCCAAAUCUUACUUAAGUGGAAAACGAUGUGAAGUUACUUAAACAACCAGGAGGUUGGCUUAGAAGCAGCCAUCCUUUAAAGAAAGCGUAAUAGCUCACUGGUCUAGUGAUUUUGCGCGGAAAAUAUAACGGGGCUAAAGUA